UUUGCUCUUUUCUCCUUUUUCUUGAUGGUGACAGUGUGACUCACAGGACAUUGCCACCUUCUUUCCCCAAAUUAAAAAUCAGUGCUGAAUUGACUAACAACCCUAACUACUCUGUGAUUAAAUUAUUCCCCCUCCCCCCCCCAGCUUUCCUUAAUUCCAAACAGUUUUCUGAAAAGCCUGUAAAGGCUUUGCUCUAAGUCUAAAGAAGAAAGCAUCGAUUAGACUUGAUUUACUGCAAUAAAUGAUAAAUAUGGCAAAGGAAUUGAUUCACAGCACUGAGUGAAGGGGCUGGGCAACCCUCUGCCACUGCCACAGCUGAGUGUUGUCAUAGCCCGAGCCGAUGGCUCAAGGCUGGAGAAAACAAACAGGGAAACACAUGUCAAACAGAUAAAUUGCUCUGCUGUUUAGAGCUCUCCGUGGAGGCCAUUUGUCUCCAAGAUAAGGAAGAAUGCACUCCAAAGCCAGGAGAAGAUAAGGAGGGAGAAGAAAAUGAAUGUGGAGUUGCUGUGGUGGCACUUGGGUGUUGGCACAGGGAGAGAAUGAUGUCCCCCCACAUCUGCAGGGAGCAGGGUGAGCACCCAGGAAAAUGUCCAGUGUGAACUUGCAGACUUUUCUUAAAUAUUUCAGGAGUGGAUGGUAUUUAUACCUCUAUAGCAGACAAACAAAUGGUGUCAUGUCAGUUGUCUGAGUCACUGGAGUGUUUUCUGAGCCUGUCGUGGGUCUGUCCCUCCCCUUUUUGGUGGUAAGUGGGCUGCAGCCUGUGGUUAUGUGGGCAUAUGUGAGCCAUGAUUUUGCAUUGACACAACAAAUUUGGGUUUGUAGUAUUGUGGUACCCAUAUAUCAUGCCAUCUUUUAUAUUCUUAGGUUUUGGAGAAGUAACAGUCCCGCUGCGACAAAUGCUGCAUUUGGAGACCUGACUGAGAUUGGAUCUAAAAUGCUCUUGACUACGGCGAGACCUCACCUUGCCCUGCUUUCCAUGGGGUGGGAGCUGCAAGGGAUGAAGAAGACACAGAGGAGUGAAGCUGCUGAGCAGGGAGCACAGAGCCAGCACUGACCUUAAACAAAACUGUGCCUGGGGAGUGACGGGAGGAGAAAGUUCAGCAGCCACUUUUGUCAGGAGCCAGCAGCUGUGUGUGCUUGAGCCCAGCCAUGCAGGCCUUGGCUCUCCAUGGAGGGCAGGACUGGCUGCUGCUUGCAGUGAGGAUUUUGCAACCUUCAGUCGUGCUUUGGGUCUGGAGUCAGUGGUGGGGUGAAUGACUGUAAACAUCGUUCCCUCUAAUUAUGGAUGUGUGAGAGAUUCGGGAGCGUAACUCAUAAAUGGUAAUGAGAUGUUAAAAGGAUAAAUCAACUGUAUAUCCAGAAGAGACCAAACUCCCCUCAGCUGCACUCCAUAUAAUCCAGGUAGUGACCUGAUGGCAGCACCCUACCUCCCAGGGCUGCGAUUACAUUUCAUCUCAUGUCUGCAAUUUUUGGCAAUUAUGCAGAAAUGUCCUAUUUCCUGCAGUAAAUAAAUUGGGAUUCGUGUUCUGCCUUGAUGUAA